GAUGAACGCUAGCUACAGGCUUAACACAUGCAAGUCGAGGGGAAACGAUGAGAGAGCUUGCUCUCUUAGGCGUCGACCGGCGCACGGGUGAGUAACGCGUAUCCAACCUACCCAUUACAGGGGGAUAACCUUGCGAAAGUAAGACUAAUACCCCAUGGCAUUUUAUGGUGGCAUCAUUAUAGGAUUAAAGAUUUAUUGGUAAUGGAUGGGGAUGCGUCUGAUUAGCUUGUUGGCGGGGUAACGGCCCACCAAGGCAACGAUCAGUAGGGGUUCUGAGAGGAAGGUCCCCCACAUUGGAACUGAGACACGGUCCAAACUCCUACGGGAAGCAGCAGUGAGGAAUAUUGGUCAAUGGGCGAGAGCUUGAACCAGCCAAGUAGCGUGCAGGAUGACGGCCCUAUGGGUUGUAAACUGCUUUUAUAGGGGAAUAAAGUGAGCUACGUGUAGUUUAUUGCAUGUACCCUAUGAAUAAGGACCGGCUAAUUCCGUG
rnacentral:rRNA from 1 species